AACAAGAUCCGGGCCUGUGGGGAGCGCCUCAGCCUGGGCCUCAGCAGAGCCCAGCCGGUUCAGAGCAAACCGCAGAAGGCCCCCACCCUAUCCUGCCCGCCCGCCCUGCCCGGCUGUGUCUCUGCCCAGGCCUCCGCCCCCGCCGCGGACCCUCCGCGGUACACCUUUGCACCCAGCGUCUCCCUCAACAAGACGGCCCGGCCCUUUGGGGCGCCCCCGCCCGCUGACAGCGCCCCGCAGCAGAAUGGGUGCAGACCCCUGACAAGUCAGUGAGCCCCCUCUGCCUGUGCCUUUCUUCUUCCUUUUGGCACUCUGGGUGGCGGCCCCUCCCCACCCUGGCUGCCCUCCUCUCCACUUCGCCCUCCUGUCCUCUCACCUACCCGCCCAGCAGGGCUCCUGGCCUCACCCUUACCCAUUCCCUCCCAUCACUGUAACCCAAACCCACAUGCACCAAAUCCUGGGAGGGGCUGCCCCCACCGCCCACCCCCAGUGUGGGGUUCUGAGCCACACCCUCCCCACAGACAGCCGCUCCGACCGCUGGUCCCAGACGCCAGCAAGCAGCGGCUGAUGGAGAACACGGAGGACUGGCGGCCGCG
rnacentral:sRNA from 1 species